CCUGGUUAUCAAAAACAUGGCCUUUUGAUUUUAAUUUAAGGUCUAGCCUGCCCACUGAGUAGUUAAAUGGCCGCGGUACUCUAACCGUGCAAAGGUAGCAUAAUAAUUAGUUUUUUAAUUGAAAGCUGGAAUGAAUGGUUGGAUGAGAAAAUUACUGUCUCUAAUUAAUUUUUAUUUGAACUUUAUUUUUAAGUAAAAAAGCUUAAAUAAUAUUGAAAGACGAGAAGACCCUAUAGAGUUUUACUUAGUGGGGUAUUUUUUUUGUUUUAGUAUUAUUAUUUUUAAUAUCUUUUUUUGUUUGGUUGGGGUGAUUGAAAAAUUUAAUAAACUUUUUGCUUUUUAAAUUCAUUGAUUAGUGUUUUUUUGAUCCGUUUUUUGCGAUUAUAAGAUAAAAUUACCUUAGGGAUAACGGCGUAA
rnacentral:rRNA from 1 species